CGCGGCGUAGAGCAGCACGGCAGCUCGCCCGGCUCAUACCCGGGAGGUCGGAGGUUCAAAUCCUCCCGCCGCUACGA
rnacentral:tRNA from 1 species